AAAGAUCCAACGAGCAAACGAAGAAACGAUGGAGAAGCGUGGACGAGGCCCGCAGAAAAGACAGAGGCGAGCGUAUAGGGUCGCGAGCGAGCGAGCGAGCGAGCGAGCGAGACUUGGUGGGAGGACGAGCGUGCGAAUCGAUC